rnacentral:rRNA from 1 species
UACAGAGGUCUCAACCGUUGUUCGGAUUCAUUGGGCGUAAAGGGUGCGUAGGCGGUCGCGCAAGUCGGAUGUGAAAUCUCAAGGGCUCAACCCUGAAACUGCAUUCGAUACUGCGUGGCUAGAGUGCUGGAGAGGAGACUGGAAUUUACGGUGUAGCAGUGAAAUGCGUAGAUAUCUGGAGGAACACCGAUGGCGAAGGCAGGUCUCUGGGCCACUACUGACGCUGAGAAGCGAAAGCGUGGGGAGCGAACAGG